rnacentral:rRNA from 1 species
UAACGCGUGGGUAACCUGCCUCAUACAGGGGAAUAGCAGCUGGAAACGGCUGAUAAAACCGCAUAAGCGCACAGUGCCGCAUGGCACAGUGUGAAAAACUCCGGUGGUAUGAGAUGGACCCGCGUCUGAUUAGCUGGUUGGCGGGGUAACGGCCCGCCAAGGCGACGAUCAGUAGCCGGCCUGAGAGGGUGAUCGGCCACAUUGGGACUGAGACACGGCCCAA